GGUUUAGCAUGAAAGCAACAUUUUUUUUUUUUUGCUGCACAGUCCUGCUGCACCCAGGUUGACCUCGCGGCGCACUUUACUCUUCCUCUCUGCCAGCCCACUUGUGCUGCUCAACUCACCAAGGUGGCUGUUGCUAUGUUAUUUUAUGUUUAAUCAACAACAACACACUUGCAUACAUGACGUCUCUAUGAAAAUAAGCUUUUGCAUGGCUAAAGAUACCUACUACCCUCACAGAACUUGAGACACAGGAAACAAGGUGAGAAUGCUGUCAAAGUACGGUGAAGUCCCUGGAACUUUGUGACCAUGGCAACAGGCACAAGACAACUAGUUGGGCGCCAAGGAAGAUUACGAAGCGAGGGUGAGGCACUCUGUGGAGAGUCAGCGUGAUACGGCAGACUCUCCGGCUAAAUCAAAUUGAUGGAGCCCAGCUAAGGGCAGAAUUACAUUAUAAUCAGCAGAAAAACAGCUUUGGAUAAGGAGGGGUUUACAGUAUUCCAGGACUGCAGGUGGCCUCUGACCUCACAAACCCCAGAAGAUGGAGACAGAAGGUUUGUUUGCUGGGGAGCAACGGCCAGUGGGCAGGAGUGCGGGGGUAUCAGCAUCGCUUUGAGGUGGACAAUCUGGA